UAACCAUGGUGUUAGCACAAGAAGAAUCCUGGCUAAGGUUGGAACAAACAAGCUGUGGUCAUUAUAUAGUCUGAAGGGGAGAAAAGCAAAGCGGGCAUUUAAAGAACUUGCUGUCUCGAAAAUUGUUAUCAAGGCCUGUCUACGUGUUCACAAAGGUGUAAGUGAAAUAGACAUCGAGGAACAAAUUGCAGAGUAUUUGAAGCAUGCUCCACAGAAAUCCGGUGGCUCUAGAUACAAGGAUCGUAGGAACCAGGAGCAAGGAAGUGCAUAACUUAUUUUAUGCAUGGUGUACAUUUUAUCUAAGGCCUAUCUACACGAUGCGAUUAUAGUGGUAUGCGAUUCUUAUCCAGACGUAUGAAAACGAUUGCUGAUGCCAGUCUUUCUGUUCCUCAGUUUAUUAAAACGAAAUUUAAAAUUUGACAUCUUUACACACGUAUUUACUCGAAUACAUACGC